rnacentral:rRNA from 1 species
AAUCAACGCUGGCGGCGUGCCUAACACAUGCAAGUCGAACGAGAAAGGGGAGCAAUCCCUGAGUAAAGUGGCGACCGGGUGAGUAACACGUGACCAAUCUACCUUCGAGUGGGGGAUAACUCCGGGAAACCUGAGUUAAUACCGCAUAACAUCUUUGGAUCGCGAGUUCCGUUGAUCAAAGCAGCAAUGCGCUGGAAGAGGAGGUUGCGGCGGAUUAGCUCGUUGGCGGGUUAAUGGCACACCAAAGCUUAGAUCGGUAGCCGGCCUGAGAGGGCGCGCGGCCACACUGGAACUGGAACACGGUCCAGACUCCUACGAGAGGCAGCAGUGGGGAAUUUUGCGCAAUGGGGGAAACCCUGACGCAGCAACGCCGCGUGGAGGAUGAAGUCCCUUGGGACGUAAACUCCUUUCGACCCCGACGAUAAUGACGGUACGGGUGGAAGAAGCACCGGCUAACUCUGUGCCAGCAGCCGCGGUAAGAC